GUUCAUUAGUAGUAACCAGUUGACAUAAGGUAAAUGUAUAUUGAGAGGGCCUUUCAUUCUGUGUAAGAGGGGGCCCUCAUUAAACAUCUCUAACAAGGCGUGCAAAAGCUCUGAUUGGGCAGUUCUCAUAUAAUGCCAAGGCCCUAGCAGGAUGUCUACUUAAUGAGGGUCCCCAAAAAGAGGCUGAUAAAAUAUUCAAAUUUCCUAUCACACUAGAAACUAUAU